GUUGUGAUUCGUGAACUUCUGGGGAAGGACCUCUGAGAAAUGAUGAGAAAUGAAUCCGGAAACACAUUAUCAUUGCUUGACUUGCAAAAAAGUCUUCAGAGCGUUAAGUGGAUUGGGAUACCACGGAUCGAAAAAGUGUUGCCCAAAUCCUUGUAAUCGAGACCAUGCCCACCAAUUGGUCACAAAGAAUUUUCCUUCUUUGGAUGAGGCAAAGGCUUGGAUUGUGGCACAAGAACUAGACAAAACCCAUUCAAUAACCCACUCUAGAAAGAGCAAUGUGCUUCAUAAAUGUCGCCAUUGGCGAAAUACUGAUUUAGCCGCAAAUAGUAAGUCUGUAGUCCUUGCAAAGCAGCAACGAGCCAGAACGCCAAUCACAUCGUAUGCUUGCCCAAGUUUUUUGAAUGUAAACCAAAUUGUACUUUGCGUUUGCACCAACACCAAAAAUUUGUGCAGUGGGCGGGAGACAGUUUUUCAGGUCAGAGGAUGCCUCACUCAUUCCCAUGAGCCCGAAUUGCGCUUUCAGCGGGUCUCCAGGGUCACGAAGGAGUUUCUCAUUUCAUUGUUGACCGUUUGGGUGCCCAAAAAGGAUAUUCUUGCUCGCUAUUGCUCACCGGAGAGCUAUGACCAUUGAGAUUAUAAGAUAAUAACUUUGAAGGACCUUACAAACUUUGAGCGAUUGUACGUAAACCAAGGGGAAAUUGAUUUGAAGAAUUUAUGCAUCUAACUGGAUGAUAAGCCAAUAUUCCAAGUUCCCCACAACUAUAUGUAUGGACGGAACCCACAACACGAAUCGCUCAAAAUAUCAUCUCAUUUCAUUUUUGGUAUUAGAUGCCAGAGGAGAAGGUGUUCCAAUUCUUCAAAUGGUAACAGACUCAGAGUCAAAGGAGACCAUUCAGCCAGCAAUUCGUGUUUUGAAUAAUCUUGCCCCUUUGGCUUCAGCCAAAACCAAAGUAUUGAUGUCUGACAUGGCAGCGUGUUAUGCAAAUGCGUGGAAAGAAGAGCUUCCCCAUCAUCCCAUUCAACCGAUGAAGUGCGCUUGGCACAUUGAAUCCGCUUGGAAGAAGAAUCUUCUUCCUCAUGAUGAGGAAUUGUACCGUAAACUUUGUCAACUACGACUUUUGACCAACGUUGACGAGUUUAACACAAUUUAUCGAAAACUGGAACAUGACUAGAGUAACAAGACAAAGAGCUGGGAAUAUAUUUCUCAAAACUACGGACCUGGUGGCGUGAAAGCCCCUCCUGAAGAAUGGGCACGAUGCUAUAGCAAUGGGGCAAAUAGCUACAAAUCUUGGCAUUGAAAGAUAUCAUCGAACCAUCAAAGACAAUGGAGUAAGAAGAUCGGAUCGUAUUGAUCAAUUGUGUGACCGGCUUCAAAAAGUCGAACGUUUAUUUCAAAGAAAAGAAGCUAUGAUCAGAGCCAAGAUUCGAGGAGAUUUCCAGCUAUCGGCGGCCCAAAGCUUAUUCCGCAGGCAACAUCCGAAUGACUUCGAAUUGUCUCUGUACAUUUUAAAAGUUGUCGAGGGCCAAUAUCAUUUAAAAAAGUACGAACGUCCUGCAGGAGUAGGAGCAAUUGUCGCUCAAUAUGAGCUUAAGCCAAGUCUUUUCAAAUGCACUCUUCCAUUGUGUCAAGUAACUUGCAAUGUUUGCCCAGUCUCAAGCCCUUGUGCCCAUCACUUGCAAUGCACUUGCCUACAUUAUGCACGGAAACGAUCUUGCAAGCAAAUGCAUGUGGUUGCCAUGCAAACCAACAACCUUCGACAAGCUGAAAAAUGCAAUGACCUGAACGAAUCUAGCCCGAACUCAAUCAACGCGAGCCAUCCCACUACUGGUGAUGAGGAGUCCGAUGGCAAAACCGAAUUGGCAAUAAACUUCGUUUUACGUGUUUUCAGGUUGAGGAACCAGUUAGAACAAGGGAAGACCUGCAAGCUGAAGCCAACAACACAGAAAGCGAGGCUAUUCAGAACUUCAAACUAAGAACAAGGAAAUUGAUGGCCAAAAUUGAAUACCAAUUGGGUAAAGUGAACCCAAGCGAUGGAGAAGAGAUCUUAGAGAAACUGGAGCAAGUCAGCAAGGCCACGAAAUAAAAAAUGAAUAUGGAUAUGUUCCCCAAGAAUGACAACAAAAGAAGAAGGGAAAAGUGCGGGACAUUUUUUCCUCGAAGAAUGAAGAAGAAGAAAACAGAAACUCAAGCCUCAAAUCCUCAAAUUUGUUUAAAUCAUGAACUCAUUGAAGAAUGUUUAAUUUGCAAUGUUGAAGCCAAUUGUUGGAUUUAUUUGAUAUCCAUGAAUCCUGACCGGGUUUUCCAAAGAGUAAAAAUGAUGCAAAUUGAUCAAGAAGCAUUCAUGAAAAAGUACGAAACAGCUUGCACAAUUUGGCGAUGUUCUCAUUGUUUAGUUUUGACUAACCUUGAGCGAAAUAUUUCUGGAUUCGUUGGAUGCGAUAUUUGCCAACUCUGGUAUCACAACUCGUGCAUGGGAUACUGCCCUGAAGAACAAGAUGGAGACACCAGCACCUGGAAUUGCUUGAAAUGCCGAGAAAUUGUACCUCGCUCUUUGACUUGUGACUGAAGUUAUGGUUUUUAUUUUUUAUGUUCGCACCUUGCUCUUUGACUUUCCAUUAGAUGUACGUUUUUUGUUAAUAAUGUUCUCAAGCCUCUAACCUACUGGACAGAAGUUAUUUUUGUUUAUUGCGAUCUCAUUAUACUUAAAAAUUCUAUGUUCAAGUAAAAAGAUGCAUCUAUUGGAAUUUUCACUUUUGGACCUUCCAUGUUUAAUACUUCCUCAAAGUACAACACUUUGAAAUAAUGUUCUUAUUACUUAUCUCGGUGGUAAACUGUAAAUAAAAGAAUUCGUA